rnacentral:rRNA from 1 species
AUUGAACGCUGGCGGCAGGCCCAACACAUGCAAGUCGAGCGGAUGAAGGGAGCUUGCUCCUGGAUUCAGCGGCGGACGGGUGAGUAAUGCCUAGGAAUCUGCCUGGUAGUGGGGGAUAACGUCCGGAAACGGGCGCUAAUACCGCAUACGUCCUGAGGGAGAAAGUGGGGGAUCUUCGGACCUCACGCUAUCAGAUGAGCCUAGGUCGGAUUAGCUAGUUGGUGGGGUAAAGGCCUACCAAGGCGACGAUCCGUAACUGGUCUGAGAGGAUGAUCAGUCACACUGGAACUGAGACACGGUCCAGACUCCUACGGGAGGCAGCAGUGGGGAAUAUUGGACAAUGAGCGAAAGCCUGAUCCAGCCAUGCCGCGUGUGUGAAGAAGGUCUUCGGAUUGUAAAGCACUUUAAGUUGGGAGGAAGGGCAGUAAGUUAAUACCUUGCUGUUUUGACGUUACCAACAGAAUAAGCACCGGCUAACUUCGUG